AUUGAACGCUGGCGGCAGGCCUAACACAUGCAAGUCGAACGAGUGGCGGACGGGUGAGUAAUGUCUGGGAAACUGCCUGAUGGAGGGGGAUAAAUACUGGAAACGGUAGCUAAUACCGCAUACCAUCGGAUGUGCCCAGAUGGGAUUAGCUAGUAGGUGGUGUAAAGGCACACCUAGGCGACGAUCCCUAGCUGUUCUGUGAGGAUUACCAGCCACACUGGAACUUAGACACGGUCCAGACUCCUACGGGAGGCAGCAGUGGGGAAUAUUGCACAAUGGGCGCAAGCCUGAUGCAGCCAUUCCGCGUGUAUGAAGAAGGCCUUCGGGUUAUAAAGUACUUUCAGCGGGGAGGCAUUACCCGCAGAAGAAGCACCGGCUAACUCCGUGCCAGCAGCCGCGGUAAUUC
rnacentral:rRNA from 1 species